UAAUAAUAAUAAAUAAAUAAAUAAAUAAUAAAAACACUUAAGACAUGGAGUUGUGUAUCCUACUUUGGCUUAUUUCUCAUAGGGAAAACAGCACUAUGUUCUAUCCCACUGCCCCAGCAGAGCCCAGCCUCCCCAACCAUAAACGCUGGUGUACUUGUCUGUUGGACCAAAGAUUAUAAGAGGCUUGAGGAAAGGUGACGGUGCCUUACUCAUGCAUGCAGCAUCCACCAAUGCCCGACUGCCAGUGGGUGGUGAGUAGAUACCAGGAGACUGAGUUCUUAGAGCUAUGGUCCUGGACCCAAGGGAAGGAUCUUGGAAGCCCUGUUGGUUAUGGAGGAUAGAGCUGCUUGCCUUUGAAAAGACCAAUGGACUUGGACCAUGAACAUAAAGUUGCAUUAUCCAUGAUGGACUGGAGACCAGAGACCCUUCCCUUCCCAGGCACCUGUAAGUUGCUGGACUCACGUGUAGCCAUGGGUGAAAAGAAGACCUGCCUCUUGAAAUAUGACUGAGAUCAAAUUCCUUGCCACCAUGGCAGGUGGGAGCUUGGAGUACUGAGUAAGUGUCUGUACAACGAUGGAUGACCAGUACCAAGGCCUUGCAAGAUCUUCAACCAUCAAAUGAAAAUUCAACUUCUUUUCAUAAGUUCCAAGGCAGAGGGUAGGCUCUCCCUAUUUAGAAAACUGUUUAUCCCUAUUAGAAAGCAGAAAUUCUUCCUUGUACCUCACAUUAUGCCCCUCCUCAACCCCUCCACUGGCUUCUCAUCUCUGAAUAAAUAUCCGAAGUUCUUAUCUUGGCCUUCCAGUCCUAGGAGAUCUGGCCCCCACUCACUCUCUGACCUCAUCUCCUAACACGCUCCCCCUCUUUUAUUCCCUUGAGCCACAAUGUUCCCCUCGUGUGCCUCCUUGUUCCUGCCUCAGAAUGUUUGCCCUUGCUGUUUCUUCUGCCUGAACGCUCAGCCCUGGGAUCUCCGCAUGGCUUUAUCCCUCACUUCCUGCUAGUCUCUGCUCACAAGUCACCUCUUUAGAAAAGCCUUCCCGGAUCACUUUAUCUAACAGAGUAUCCCUCUCUCAGCCUUGCCACCCCACACUUUUUGUUUACCAUACUUUAUUUCUCUCCAAAGUCCUUAGCUGACAUAUACAUGAUAUAGUUAUUACAUUUGUCUGUAGUCUGUUUCCCCCAGAUUUUAUUUUACUGACUUUGGAAUCCCCAAUGCCUAGAACAGUAUCUGGCACAUAGUAAGGAUUCAAGAAAUAUUUGUUGAAUUAAAUAAGUGAAUUUAUCCAGCAAAUACAACUGCCCCAGGCCACCACACUCCAUGGAUAUUCCCCUGAAGUGAGAUUUGAUUGGGCAUGAGCUGCAGAAACAGGAUAGAGUGCUGGAGCUGGAAGAGACCUUGGGAUCACUGACUUCUGCCCUUUCACAGGGCUGCCGGGGCACACAGGGUGUAAACCUGCCGUGAGGCCUGGGGCUUUCCUGUGAUCUUAAGGAGGCUGCCUUGUUGAGGGAGAUGCCCAGCCCAGUGGCUCUGCGGUGUCUUCUCCAACAUCACUGGGCGGGAGCACAAGGGAAAUUCCUUAGGCAGUGAGAGCUACCCGAGAAAAUAAACUUGGGAAACCCAGGUUCUGCGGAUCUCUUACUUCUCAGGGCUGCAGGUAAGUUUCUGUGUGUUGCGAUUCUCUGAGAUGAAAUGACUGUACAUCUCAUUUCUCAAACUUUUUUUUAAGCCUUUUUUCUGGUGAAUCCUUUUAUGGGAUUUGUCUUUCCAGGGACACAUUUGGGAAAACGCUGCUUUUUUGCCUUUUUACUGGCUGAAGCACCUUCUGAACAGGCAUGGGGAAGCUACAGGGGUCAGUGGCUUUUGUUAGCUAAAGAACCCAGAGAUGGGACUUUUCCUUUCCUUAAGGCCAGGGCUUGCCAGCUCCUCCCAUCUUUUAGAGGAACCCCAAAGCAUACCCUUUUCUACAUUCUGCUACCCCCUGGCCCCCCCCAGACCUGAAAUGGCUCCCUUCAGUCUCUCUUUUCUUCAGCCCCCCAACACUUGUCUCACCAGGCCCAGCUUUUCCUUCUGGAUGUCGCUUGCCGCCCGCCUAUCCUCCCACCUGCCUCCUGAGGCCUGGUUUGGAGGUUCUCCUCCUUCCAGGAGCCCAGCGCUGCCUCUAGGAGAGAGAAUUAUCCUGGAAACUCCCCCUUCUCCCUGCCUGACAGCAGCCCCUGCUGAACUCCACAGCCGCAGCUGGGAGCCAUUUAAAUAGCUGAUGCAGGGUGGGCUGGUGGCUACUGCCUGUAAUCCCACACUUUGGGAGGCUGAGGUGGGAGCACUGCUUCAGCCUAGGAGUUCAAAACCAGCCUGGGCACUAUAGCAAGGACCCUGUCUCUAAAAAAGAAAAAAAAUAGCUGAUCUGCAUCUGAAAGGAGAUAAGCAGUUUCCUGAGCGGUAUACUGUGCAGUAUCCAGCUUCGUAAACUAAGGGCAUACACACUGUAGACAUGUCCAUGCAUAUCUGCACAAGGAAAGAAAACGCAUGGAGGUGAGGGUGUUGGUGGCUAACUCUGGGUGGUGGGAUUUGGGGUGAUUUUUUUCUCCUGCGUUGCUUAGCUGUGCUUUUAAAUUUUAUUUUUUCACGUAUGUUUGCAACAACGAAAACUCAUGAUAAGUGUCAAUAAAUCGGCAGCUCUCGUUUGGUUCCUCAUUAGCUGUGUAACCUCAAACAAAGUACUUAACCUCUCAGGCUCCUCAUCUCAAAUACAUCCCACCUCCCUCCUCCUCUGAGAUGCCGCGGGAUUCAUCUCUCUCCCACAGCCAGAUUGCAAGCAGCUAGAGAGCAGGCAGGUGCUAAAUAAAUCCUCAGUGACUGAGCCCGGAGCCAAACACAUUUAUCCUUGUCAUCCAUCCAAUUCUGUGCAGCUGGGAUGGAGCCCAAGGCGCUGAGGACAACAUAAAUCUGCUCUUUGGGCCACACCCAUUUCUUCUCCAAGCAGAUGUGGUAGCCGGGAGCCAAGUCUUGGGGGCUCAGCGCUGGGCUGAGAAGGGGACGAGCUCCAGGCCCGGUGAGUUGGAAGUCUCGGAGAAAGGCUGACUGGCUUCACCUCGCCUCCGCCGCCCAGGGGCUGUGUGAGCAGGCUUUGGCAGCGAUUUCUCCAGCAGGAAGGGAUGAAGCCCUGACCAGGUUCAGAGGCAGCGGGUCAGGACCGUGCCUGGGCUCAGUCCCGCCCUGGCUCCUUCGCUUCUCGCCGCUGUGAGCCUGGGCAGUGGCUUCGCUGCUCUGGGCCCCACUUUCCUCAAGCGUUAGCAGGACAGUGGCACUCUAUUUUGGAAUCUCAUGAGAAUAAAAUGAGAUGAUGCAUGGACAACCUGCACAUAGCAAGUGCUAAUAAUUACCAUCUCUUAAGUUGGUUUGAAGGUCCAAAGCCAGUCCCUAAUUGAGUAGCCUCCGGUAGCUCAAAGUACAUGGCUGGCUUAAGGCCUGGGAUCCUUUCCCAGUGCUAACCGAGCUGCCAUAAAUGUAACUCAUGGAAAGCAAGCUCCAGGUCUGACAUGGGCGGGGCCCAUCCUGCUGAGAUACAGUACAGCCUCAAGUGGAUUUAUUAACCCAAAGAAACUAGCAGCACAACUUGUGUGCUGACACCUGCUAGUCACUUCAUACCUCACGAUCCCCUUUUCACGGAACAGGACAUCCAUCUAGGCACAGAGAGGAUAAGGUUCUGCCCAAAGCCACACAGCAUGAUAAAUGGCGGAACUUGGGUCUAAAUACUGCAUCAGAAGACAGUAUCUCUGCUCACCCCUAUUUUGUUUUGCAACCUCUGGAAUUUUCCAUUCCAUUUGUUUAACGCCACUUAUAAUGAAGGCCUCCUCAUGCAUCUUGAGAAGGCAUGUGUUCAGUGGUACAGUAUACAAACUCACUUCUCCCACAUGCUGGCCGCACUAAGUGCCACACCUUGAAAUAAUUCUGAGACAUUCUUCUUAGGAUAUUUGUGGCAUAAGGAGGAAGCCCUUGGUGCCUUCGUGCAGCUGUGUUCCUCUAGGAUAGCAAUUGUGAUAAAGACCCAGGGCCGGCUGGUGACUGAAACGGGAGUGGUUUCUACCAAAUCCUGUGAGCAAUUUAGACUCUCUUGGGUAUUCCCUAAACAGUCAUCAUCAGACUGGGAGGAGAGAGCAAAUAUUACCUGAAAUGAGGCCGCUUGGUGGAAGACAUUGGAGAAACACAGCUGGAAAGAUGGACGCUCUGCGGUUCAGAAACACUGGAGUUUCACAUUUGACCUCUGGCUUUCAUGUGAGAUGAAAGGACAGAACACUUUUCCAAAGUUAUUUUCUCUUUACAUGAGUUCAAGGGCUGUGGUGAAAGUGAGGAAUCCAAAGUCUACCCAGACUACUUCCUCUUAUUUUGAUUUAUGCCAGUGGUUUAUAACUUUUUAUAAUAAAUAUUUUGUAAACUCCCUUUAA